CCUACGGGUGGCAGCAGUGAGGAAUAUUGGUCAAUGGGCGCGAGCCUGAACCAGCCAAGUAGCGUGAAGGAUGACUGCCCUACGGGUUGUAAACUUCUUUUAUAAGGGAAUAAAGUGAGGCACGUGUGCCUUUUUGUAUGUACUUUAUGAAUAAGGAUCGGCUAACUCCGUGCCAGCAGCCGCGGUAAUACGGAGGAUCCGAGCGUUAUCCGGAUUGAUUGGGUUUAAAGGGAGCGUAGGUGGGUCGUUAAGUCAGUUGUGAAAGGCUGCGGCUCAACCGUAAAAUUGCAAUGGAUACUGGCAGUCUUGAGUGCAGUUGAGGUAGGCGGAAUUCGUGGUGUAGCGGUGAAAUGCUUAGAUAUCACGAAGAACUCCGAUUGCGAAGGCAGCUUACUAAACUGCAACUGACAUUGAUGCUCGAAAGUGUGGGUAUCAAACAGGAUUAGAUACCCGUGUAGUC
rnacentral:rRNA from 1 species